CCGAAGGGGGCUAGCGUUGCUCGGAAUUACUGGGCGUAAAGCGCACGUAGGCGGCCAUGAUAGUCAGAUGUGAAAGGCCUGGGCUCAACCCGGGAAUUGCAUUUGAUACUGCAUGGCUAGAGUCCAAGAGAGGGUAGUGGAAUUCCCAGUGUAGAGGUGAAAUUCGUAGAUAUUGGGAAGAACACCAGUGGCGAAGGCGGCUACCUGGCUUGGUACUGACGCUCAGGUGCGAAAGCGUGGGGAGCGAACAGGAUUAGAUACCCUGGUAGUCCACGCCGUAAACGAUGGGUGCUAGAUGUCGGGCAGCUUGCUGUUCGGUGUCGUAGCUAACGCGUUAAGCACCCCGCCUGGGGAGUACGGCCGCAAGGUUA
rnacentral:rRNA from 1 species